rnacentral:rRNA from 1 species
GUAGGGAAUUUUCGGCAAUGGGGGAAACCCUGACCGAGCAACGCCGCGUGAGUGAUGAAAGUCUUCGGAUUGUAAAGCUCUGUUAUAAGGGAAGAACGUCCCGGAUAGUCUCCGGGAGUGACGGUACCUUAUCAGAAAGCUACGGCUAACUACGUGCCAGCAGCCGCGGUAAUACGUAGGUAGCGAGCGUUAUCCGGAAUUAUUGGGCGUAAAGGGUGCGUAGGCGGCUUGUUAAGUUUAAGGUGAAAGCGUGGGGCUCAACCCCAGAAAGCCUUAGAUACUGACGAGCUAGAGUACUGGAGAGGGUAGUGGAAUUCCAUGUGUAGCGGUAAAAUGCGUAGAUAUAUGGAGGAACACCGGUGGCGAAGGCGGCUACCUAGACAGAGACUGACGCUGAUGCACGAAAGCGUGGGGAGCAAAUAGGAUUAGAAACCCCUGUAGUCC